UGCCUGAAUGAAAAACGGAGAGAUGCGAACCUUCCUGACGUCUUGUUCGCUGCUUUCACUGAUGGCAUUUCUUUUCAGUGCCUUCUGGUUUUACUGAGAACAUAUAGGUUCAGUUUUUGCCCCUGUCCCAUUUAAUUCAAUUUACAGUAAGACUGAACAUUAGCCUAAUAAACAUUUCAGCACAAUUAAAGAAUAGAAACCAAAGUAAUGUUUUUGUAAACUCUUUUUAAUCUUAUGCUUGUCUAUAGAAUAUUGUUCAAGUGCAUUUCAUAUUAAUAAUUUAAAAAAACAUAAAAUACAACUUUUAUAUUGUGUGAAUGUUGUUUGAACCUUGUUUGCUCUUGGAGGUCUGGAUCCUAGUGACUGAUUGACAAAUGUAGGCUAUGGAGACAUUUUGGGGAAAAAGUGUCUAGAAUGCUUGGUGUAAUUUCAAAGUUUGUCGGGUGGGGUUUGCCCAAUUUGUGACUUAAGGCAUUUAUUCUUUAGCUGCAAAUUAUGCGAGAAUGUAUAAGCAAGUACGCUUCAAAAUGUUGGUUUGUACGUUAGCUUAAGGUUAAAGAAUCCCAUGCACGCAAAGUCUUAACAUACCAAUAGGUUAACGAUUUUAAAUGUUUGGGAAAAAAGCAAGGUAGUGUGCUGUGAAACAAUGUAAACUGCUACAAUAACAAUGGGUUUUAUAAGCAAUAAAUUAAAAAAGAGCUGAAAUGUUUCAUUUGUCAUCUUGUAGUGGGAGUGGAUUUUAGGGUAUUUUUUCCUGCUCACAUCAUGACCCCGACCGUUUUGAGGGGAAAACCAAGAUUAAAAAUGUAUUUGUACGGAGUGAACAUAAAAGAUAAAUCAUUAUCAGUGUCCAAGGGCCGCCUGACUAUUACGAUAAAACUGAAAAUGAAAAUAAACUCGUUUAACUGCAUGUUUAUGCCCAAAUUGUGACAUAAGGCAUGUAUCCUUUUGCUGCAGUUAGGUGAUAUGAGAGAAUGUGUAAGUAAGUACGCUUCAAAAUGUUGGUUUGUACGUUAGCUUAAGGUUAAAGAAUCCCAUGCACGCAAAGUCUUAACAUACCAAUAGGUUAACGAUUUUAAAUGUUUGGGAAAAAAGCAAGGUAGUGUGCUGUGAAACAAUGUAAACUGCUACAAUAACAAUGGGUUUUAUAAGCAAUAAAUUAAAAAAGAGCUGAAAUGUUUCAUUUGUCAUCUUGUAGUGGGAGUGGAUUUUAGGGUAUUUUUUCCUGCUCACAUCAUGACCCCGACCGUUUUGAGGGGAAAACCAAGAUUAAAAAUGUAUUUGUACGGAGUGAACAUAAAAGAUAAAUCAUUAUCAGUGUCCAAGGGCCGCCUGACUAUUACGAUAAAACUGAAAAUGAAAAUAAACUCGUUUAACUGCAUGUUUAUGCCCAAAUUGUGACAUAAGGCAUGUAUCCUUUUGCUGCAGUUAGGUGAUAUGAGAGAAUGUGUAAGUAAGUACGCUUCAAAAUGUUGGUUUGUACGUUAGCUUAAGGUUAAAGAAUCCCAUGCACGCAAAGUCUUAACAUACCAAUAGGUUAACGAUUUUAAAUGUUUGGGAAAAAAGCAAGGUAGUGUGCUGUGAAACAAUGUAAACUGCUACAAUAACGAUGGGUUUUAUAAGCAAGAAAUUAAUUGCAAAUUGCACCUUGCCGGAGCUGAGCUCCGUCUCCUUCAGUAUCAUAUCAUCAUAUCACACUUGUAUUAUUUAAAUCUCCCAGUAAAUGUAAUAGCAUGUAAGUCUUGAUGUAUAAUUCUCUAGACAACAAAUAGAGACAUUUGAGUCUAAUUCUACACCCAAAACUAUGUAAACAAUGAGCUUGUAACAAUUAUCAGACAUCAUCAAACGCGCGUGCGCCCGCACGCCAUCACGCAAACCGAGUUUGUUAUGGCGCGAAUCGCAUUUGUCUCGAACAUUCCGAUUCCGUCAAAUUGUUUUUCUCCUCGGUAAGUUUCAAAAGUUCAAUUCUGAGUUAGCUAACAUUUUAUGUGUAUUUACUAAGCUGUCUGUUAAGCAGGAUUAGCUGUGUGUUGCCUUGGUGAACUGAAAUGGCUAUUUUUAGCUUCUCAGGCAGACAUCACAUCAGAAACUGUGUAAAUCAGCUGAAAUUAAGAUAACUUUAGCAGCCAGUAACUUAGCGCACAUAAAGCCUAAAACUAUAAGCCACAUUCCUCAUGAGAAAAACUAACGUUGAACGGACGUUAACUUCUUGUGGAAGCGGCCGCUUCCCCGUGUUUUGUUCGGAACACGAUGAGUUUACGUUUGUACAAUAAGUGGAAGAUAUCAGAGUAACUUGGAUAACUGGCAGCUUUUUAGUUAGCUAAGCUAAUUGUGUUCAUUCAUUCAGAGGCUUAAUGAACAGUCAGUUUUAACAAUGAAGAGGAAGAGGACCUUAAAAGAUUUCUUUUUUUGUGCUCCAUUCUCCUCCAUCUACUCUAACUGCAUGUUUUAGCAUAAACUGUACAGAUAUUUACACCGACAAGCCGAUGAAGCGGUUACCGAAAGCCGGAGCCUACGCCUGUGCGGGAGUGGGGCGUGCGAAGGCCGAGUUCAGCGUGUUCGAGGCCGAAGCGAACGCGUCGGCGGGGGCCCAGGCAUCCCUGGGGUUCAACACCGGAGUGAGCGCCGGUCCCGAUGGCGUGGAAUGGCAGUUCCUAGGCACCGGCGGAAGAAUCGGUCCAAAUCCAAAAAUAUCCCUGUUGGGAUCUUCGGUGGAAUGCUCCGUUAUGUGACUGUCUCUAAGAACAGUCUUCAUGACAUUACGUUUGUUGCGGUCAUUCAUGAUAUUAAAUUAAGCUUUACAGUCUUGUCUGUUACCGAAAGAAAGUUCAUUUCAAAUUAAUAAUUAAAAAAAAAAAAAAUACAAACGCAGUCCAGAUUUUGUAUUGUGUGAAUACGUUGCUUCUUUCUGAACCAUGUAUGCUGUUGGAGGUCUGGGCCCCAUUAUCUGACUGACUGUAAAGUACUUAGAGACGUAAGCCAUUACAUUACAUUUAUUUGGCUAAAAGCGACGUAGAAUACGUGCAUACCGAAGGUCAUUGGAACAAAACACGUCUGAUAUGGUAUAUUACUGAUUACGUAACAGUUAUUCAUUCAUAGCCAUGAACGUGUUAAGCCAUAUAUAGAUAACGAUAACAAUAAAAUUAAACAUGAAAGUAAACUCUGCAUGACUAUCUGAAUGUAUGUAAUUACUAAUGUAUUAAAAUGUAUGCAAAUACUUUUCAAUAAAAGCUGAGAAUCCGCGCUUUAA